rnacentral:rRNA from 1 species
CAGCAGGCGCGAAACCUUUACAAAGCACUAAAUGCGAUAAGGGGACUCCGAGUGUAGUCUUCCCACAAGGAAGGCUGCUUUUCUGCGCUGUAAGGAGGUGCCGGAACAAGGGGUGGGCAACACUGCUGCCAGCCGCCGCGGUAAUAGCAGGGCCCCAAGUGGUAGUCGUUAUUAUUGGGCUUAAAGUGUUCGUAGCCGGAUCUGUAAGUCCGCUGUGAAAUCCACGCGCUUAACGUGUGGGCGUGCAGCGGAGACUGCAGGUCUAGGGACCGGACGGCGUCGAGGCUAUUCCAGGGGUAGGGGUGAAAUCCUAAAAUCCCUGGAGGAGCACCUGUGGCGAAAGCGCUCGACGAGUACGGAUCCGACGGUGAGGAACGAAAGCUAGGGGAGCAAAGCGGAUUAGAUACCCGCGUAGUCCUGGCUGUAAACAUUGUCCGUUUGAUGUCGGCUAACCUCCGAGGUUAGCCGGUGCCGAAGUGAAAACGUAAACGCAC